rnacentral:rRNA from 1 species
GAUGAACGCUGGCGGCGUGCCUAAUACAUGCAAGUCGAGCGAACAGACGAGUAGCUUGCUCCUCUGACGUUAGCGGCGGACGGGUUAGUAACACGUGGGUAACCUACCUAUAAGACUGGGAUAACUUCGUGAAACCGGAGCUAAUACCGGAUAAUAUAUUGAACCGCAUGGUUCAAUAGUGAAAUUCGGUUUGGCUGUUUCUUAUAGAUGAAUCCGCGCCGCAUUAGCUAGUUGGUAAGGUAAAGGCUUACCAAGGCGACGAUGCGUAGCCGACCUGAGAGGAUGAUCGGCCACACUGGAACUGAGACACGGCCCAGACUCCUACGGGAGGCAGCAGUAGGGAAUUUUCGGCAAUGGGCGAAAGCCUGACGGAGCAACGCCGCGUGAGUGAUGAAGGUCUUCGGAUCGUAAACCUCUGUUAUUAGGAAAGAAAAAAUGCGUAAGUAACUAUGCACGUCUUGACGGUACCUAAACAGAAAGCCACGGCUAACUACGUG